rnacentral:rRNA from 1 species
UACGAACUGUGCGAACGUUAUUCGGAAUCACUGGGCUUACAGGGUGCGUAGGCGGUCGAUGAAGUAGGGUGUGAAAUGCCUUGGCUCAACCAAGGCACAGCGCUCUAAACUGAUUGACUCGAGCGAGCUAGGGGUAUACGGAACUUCCGGUGGAGCGGUGAAAUGUGUUGAUAUCGGAAGGAACGCCGGCGGCGAAAGCGGUAUACUGGGGCUUGUCUGACGCUGAGGCACGAAAGCCAGGGGGAGCGAACGGGAUUAGAAACCCCA